GAUGAACGCUGGCGGCGUGCCUAAUACAUGCAAGUCGAGCGAACAGACGCGGCGCUUGCUCCUCUCACGUUAGCGGCGGAGGGGUGAGUAACACGUGGAUCCCCUACCUAUCUGACUGGGAUAACUUCGGGACACCGGAGCUAAUACCGGAUAAUAUAUUGAACCGCAUGGUUCAAUAGUAAGAGACGGUUUUGCUGUCACUUCUAGCUGGAUCCGCGCCGCAUGAGCUAGUUGGUGAGGUCACGGCUUACGAAGGCAAGGAUGCGUAGCCGACCUGCGGGGCGGAUCGGCCGCACUAGAGGGGAGACACGGUCAAGACGCCUACGAGAGGGAGCAGUAGGGAAUCGUCCGCAAUGGUCGGAAGCCUUACGGAGCAAGCGGGCGUGAGUGAUGAAGGCGUUCGGAUCGUAAUACUCUGUUAUUGGGUAAGAACAAAUGUGUAAGUAACUAUGGACGUCGUGACGGUACCUAAUCAAAAAGCCACGGCUAACUACGUG
rnacentral:rRNA from 1 species